rnacentral:rRNA from 1 species
GAUGAACGCUGGCGGCGUGCCUAAUACAUGCAAGUCGAGCGAACGGACGAGAAGCUUGCUUCUCUGAUGUUAGCGGCGGACGGGUGAGUAACACGUGGAUAACCUACCUAUAAGACUGGGAUAACUUCGGGAAACCGGAGCUAAUACCGGAUAAUAUUUUGAACCGCAUGGUUCAAAAGUGAAAGACGGUCUUGCUGUCACUUAUAGAUGGAUCCGCGCUGCAUUAGCUAGUUGGUAAGGUAACGGCUUACCAAGGCAACGAUGCAUAGCCGACCUGAGCGGGUGAUCGCCCACACUGGAACUGAGACACGGUCCAGACUCCUACGGGAGGCAGCAGUAGGGAAUCUUCCGCAAUGGGCGAAAGCCUGACGGAGCAACGCCGCGUGAGUGAUGAAGGUCUUCGGAUCGUAAAACUCUGUUAUUAGGGAAGAACAUAUGUGUAAGUAACUGUGCACAUCUUGACGGUACCUAAUCAGAAAGCCACGGCUAACUACGUG